UACGGGGGGGGUAAGCGUUGUUCGGAAUUACUGGGCGUAAAGGGCUCGUAGGCGGCCAACUAAGUCAGACGUGAAAUCCCUCAGCUUAACUGGGGAACUGCGUCUGAUACUGGAUGGCUUGGAUUCGGGAGAGGAAUGCGGAAUUCCCGGUGUAGUGGUGAAAUGCGUAGAUAUCGGGAGGAACACCGGUGGCGAAGGCGGCCAACUGGACGAAUACUGACGCUGAGACUCGAAAGCGUGGGGAGCAAACAGG
rnacentral:rRNA from 1 species